UAGGGAAUCUUCCACAAUGGACGCAAGUCUGAUGGAGCAACGCCGCGUGAGUGAAGAAGGUUUUCGGACCGUAAAGCUCUGUUGUUGGUGAAGAAGGAUAGAGGUAGUAACUGGCCUUUAUUUGACGGUAAUCAACCAGAAAGUCACGGCUAACUACGUGCCAGCAGCCGCGGUAAUACGUAGGUGGCAAGCGUUGUCCGGAUUUAUUGGGCGUAAAGCGAGCGCAGGCGGAAGAAUAAGUCUGAUGUGAAAGCCCUCGGCUUAACCGAGGAAUUGCAUCGGAAACUGUUUUCUUGAGUGCAGAAGAGGAGAGUAGAACUCCAUGUGUAGCGGUGGAAUGCGUAGAUAUAUGGAAGAAUACCAGUGGCGAAGGCGGCUCUCUGGUCUGCAACUGACGCUGAGGCUCGAAAGCAUGGGUAGCGAACAGGAUUAGAUACCCUUGGUAGU
rnacentral:rRNA from 1 species